rnacentral:rRNA from 1 species
UACGUAGGGGGCAAGCGUUGUCCGGAAUCAUUGGGCGUAAAGCGCGUGUAGGCGGCUGACUAAGUCCGCUCUGAAAGCCCGGGGCUCAACCCCGGGAGGCGGGUGGAUACUGGUCAGCUCGAGUCCGGAAGAGGCGAGUGGAAUUCCUGGUGUAGCGGUGAAAUGCGCAGAUAUCAGGAGGAACACCGAUUGCGAAGGCAGCUCGCUGGGACGUCACUGACGCUGAGACGCGAAAGCGUGGGGAGCAAACAGG